rnacentral:lncRNA from 1 species
UGUAGUUGUCUUGGCCAAGUGUUGGAGAUAUUGUUAUUGUGGAUUGGAGUUGGCCGUGUGAAAAAUUGUUGGUUUUCUUGAAGAUUAUUGUUGUAGUUCUUGGUGUUGUUGUUGUUGUUCUUGAUGUUCAUCACCACCUUCAUAUAUUGUUGAAGAUAAAGUGAAUGCUAAAUUCAAAAAGUUAAAGGAAAAGAGUGUAUUAUUUGUUAGUCUUGAAAGACACUACAACCAACAAGGACCUAUCAAUCAAGUCUCAACCACUUUCCAACACUUUUCCAUGAUUUAAGGAUCCAUGUUUUAAGGAGACAUACAAGAAAAAGUCAGGUCUUGAAAAUUGAAAAAGG